CAGCUGGAUUUUUUCCAGCUUGUUGGACGCCCUCUCAUUGAAAAUUGUUUAGCUGGAUUUAACAGUUCAGUGUUUGCCUAUGGGCAGACAGGGAGUGGAAAGACUUAUACCAUGUGGGGACCAGCUAACGCCUUGUUGGAAGAGAACUUAUCAAGUGAUCAACAAGGCUUAACUCCCUGUAUUUUUGCGCGACUCUUUUCCCGCAUAAAUGAGGAACAAAUCAAGCAUGCUGAAAAGCAGCUAAAUUACCAAUGUCGUUCUUCUUUUCUUGAGGUUUUGUGACUGGACAGUA